GACGAACGCUGGCGGCGUGCUUAACACAUGCAAGUCGAACGGAAAGGCCCUGCUUUUGUGGGGUGCUCGAGUGGCGAACGCGUGAGUAACACGUGAGUAACCUGCCCUUGUUUUUGGGAUAACUUCAGGAAACUGGGGCUACUACAGUAUAGGAUCUCCUGUUGCAUGGUGGGGGUUGGAACGUUUCGGCGGUCGGGGAUGGAUGGGCGGGUUAUGAGCUAGUUGGUGGGGUAGUGGCUUACCCAGUCUGUGACUGGUACGCGACACGAGAGGGUGACCGGCGUCAUGACGACUAAGAGACGGCCCAGUCGGCAAUGGGAGGCAGCAGUGGGGAGUAUGGCACAACGGGCGGGAGCGGGAGACAGAGGCCCUCCGUGCGGGAAGACGGCCUUUGGGGUGAGAACCGCUGUCGCCUGUGACGAAGCGGGAGUGACGGUACUGGGUGAAGAAGCACCGGCUAACUACGUG
rnacentral:rRNA from 1 species